GUCGUAUGAUGGGAGCCCUGUUGCCACCAUGUCCAGCCACCACUGAGCUACAUCCAGUGGUACCUCCAGGAUUUUACUCAAUGUCUGUCUGGAUUUCUGCCUGAGAGAGAAUCCUCAACUGAAUCAAGGCACUGCCAGACUACGACGGCCCUUUGGUUUAGUGGCCUGAAGACUCACCACGGGGCCAACGAUCCUUCUGGGAUGUUUUGCCUGAACAGAACAUGUUUAUAAGAUCAGAGGUUGUACAUCUAAUAAAAUAAAUAAAUAAAGUCAAAGCAAUGCUUCUGGAUCCUGGUCCAGUGUUCUCUGGUCAGACUAUUGUAAAACAAGCCGGCCCCAGCUCCAUCAAACAAAAUGCAACAAUUACACUUUGAGUGCUUGAGCAUUUUUUUUCUAGAGGGAGAGAGAGAGAGAAAGCAAAAACCACUGAGCUCUCUGACAGACCACAGGUAGCAGCCAGGUGCUGGGAGAUUCUCC